UACGUAGGGGGGCUAGCGUUGUCCGGAAUCAUUGGGCGUAAAGCGCGCGUAGGCGGCCAGAUAAGUCCGGUGUGAAAGUCACAGGCUCAACCUGUGAAUGCCGCUGGAAACUGUCUGGCUUGAGUCCGGAAGGGGCGAGUGGAAUUCCUGGUGUAGCGGUGAAAUGCGCAGAUAUCAGGAGGAACACCAAUGGCGAAGGCAGCUCGCUGGAACGGUACUGACGCUGAGGCGCGAAAGCGUGGGGAGCGAACAGG
rnacentral:rRNA from 1 species